rnacentral:pre_miRNA from 1 species
AGCCUUCUGAAUCCAUGUCAAGAUUUCGUCACAUACUAUACAGCCAGGACUAAUGAGACUCCCAAGAUAUAGGUAAAGCG